CACUUAACCCCAAAUCCUCUCUCAUAUCUUCUCAGACUGCGUCUCUCUCUCUCUCUCUCUCAUAUUACUCUUGUUUCUCUAGCUCUUUCUCACCAAAUUCUCCAUAAACCAUCCCUCUGUUCUUGGCUUUCUUUUCAAUUGGGGGAAGUAAAAAAAGAGAAAGAUUGAAGAAGGUAUGCCUUUACAGGUUUAAACCCCAAUUUCUCACACUUCUAUUAUCACAGACGACAAGACAACAAGUGAUUGAUGAUGAGAAACCCCAAUUUCUUUCAUUCAGUUAGCACAAAAUUGCAAAUACAUUGUUGUUGGCACUUUAGAUGAUACUUUGGAUUUAGAUAACAAGGAUGAUGAAGUGUGAGUCAGCAGAACAAGUGUGACCCUUUUGUCACUCUUAAAACUUCAGUAAACCAAAAAGUAGUUGCUGUGGUGGGAUAGUGUAAAUUUUAAAUUCAAAGCUUUUGACUUUGAUAAUGAUGACAACUCCUGGGCAACGAGGAAAGAGAGUGAAGAGAGUUAAGAGGUUGAGGGCCAUACUAGCACCAGCUCUAGAGGUAGUAAUGGUGUCCAUUCUGAUGAUGACUAUUACGAUGAACUAGCAAACCAGAAUCUUGAUGAGAACUGAUUUAGGGAUUAUAUCCAUAUGGAACAUACACUUGCUCUCUAGACUUACUUUUGGUUGUACAAAGUCUAGAAUUAGUUUCAGAUCUUUAUUUUGAAACACAGUUGCUCUACACUUACUUUUGGUUAUACAAAGUCUAGAAUUAGUUUGGGAUCUUUAUUUUGGAAUACACUUGCUCUAGACUUGCUUUUGGUUGUACAAAGUGUAGACUUAGUUUGGGAUCUUUAUUUUGGAAUACACUUGCUCUAGACUUGCUUUUGGUUGUACAAAGUGUAGACUUAGUUUGGGAUCUUUAUUU